UACGUAGGGUGCAAGCGUUGUCCGGAAUUAUUAGGCGUAAAGAGCUCGUAGGCGGUCUGUCGCGUCUGCUGUGAAAACCUAGGGCUUAACUCUGGGCGUGCAGUGGGUACGGGCAGGCUAGAGUGCGGUAGGGGAGACUGGAAUUCCUGGUGUAGCGGUGAAAUGCGCAGAUAUCAGGAGGAACACCGGUGGCGAAGGCGGGUCUCUGGGCCGAUACUGACGCUGAGGAGCGAAAGCGUGGGGAGCGAACAGG
rnacentral:rRNA from 1 species